AUACCUUUCUCGGCCUUUUGGCUAAGAUCAAGUGUAGUAUCUGUUCUUAUCAGUUUAAUAUCUGAUAUGUGGGCCAAUGGCCCACACGAUAUUAAAUUACUUUUUUGAAGGGGAGAGUCCAUUACAGUAGCUUGCUACUGGGCCUCUCAUGUGUCGCCCAAGCGUUACACUAUAGCUUGGGCUUGGCGCACCCUACAAUUUUAGUUUAAAUAUUGUCCUUCCUUUUUUUUGUUCGAGUCAAUCUCUAUUAAAUUGUUUUAAGAUUUUGGUCUUCGUGAUGGAGAAGAAAAUAGUGGCGACUGAGAAAAAAUAGAUUAAAAUGAAAGGUGAUUUAGACACAUAAACAAUUGUACUUAUUUUUGUUAUGCAACAAAAAUAAUUUGCUGUGUGGGGAAAUUGGGAAUUUUCUAUAGCGUA